UCCUAGUAUGCUUGGCUGCUCCUUUCCGCUGUAUAGUAAACUUCAGAAGAGCAUGAUCACUCGCGCCUAAUGAUCCUUCCACUUCUACCCCACUAACCAGGUCAUCAACAUUGGUUAGGACCAGAUCUAAAAUGGCUGUUCCUCUUGUUGCUUCUCCCACUUUCUGGACAACGAAGUUGUCUGCAAGGCCAGUGAGGAAUCUGUUUGACCUUAUGCUCUUGGCUGAGUUUGACAUCCAACAAAUAUCCGGGUAAUUGAAGUCCCCCAUUACUACUACAUUCCUUUUGCAUGCUUGGCCAUCUGUUCCAGGAGGCAUCAUCUAUGUCCUCCGUUUGGCUUGGGGAUCUAUAGUAAACUCCCACAAUGAGGUCACUGUUAUUCUUCUCUCCCUUAAUUUUGACCCAAAUGCUCUCACUUUGGCUUUGAGGUUCUAAAUCUUGGAUCUCUUCACAGGUAUACACAUCCCUGACAUAUAACGCCACUCCUCCUCCUUUCUUGUCUGGUCUGUUUCUCUGAAAUAGAUUGUAUCCCUCCAUUAUUACAUUCCAAUCGUGGGACUUAUCCCACCAGGUUUCAGUGAUGCCUAUUAUGUCAUAUUUAGUUUGCUGUACCAAGAGCUCAAGCUCAUCUUGUUUAUUCCCAUGCUUUGCGCAUUAGUGUACAGACAUUGAAGUCCAUUAAUCAUUCACCCGUGUCUCUUAUUUAAGGAUUUUUUCCUCCCACCACUAGGUCUGCGUGCUGUUUGCUCCAUUUGGUCUAUGACAUUUGGAUGAUCAUCUUCAUCAAUUGAUAGACUCCUACCUUCAGGAGCACUGUCUCCCUCCCCCCACAUUAGUCAGUUUAAAGCCCUCCUGAUGAGGUUUCUGAGAUUUUUGGCAAAAACAUUCCUCCCAACCGUUGUGAGGUGCAGCC